GCGUUGUUCGGAAUUACUGGGCGUAAAGGGUUCGUAGGUGGCCAACUAAGUCAUACGUGAAAUCCCUCAGCUUAACUGGGGAACUGCGUCUGAUACUGGUUGGCUUGAGUGCAGGAGAGGGACGCGGAAUUCCAGGUGUAGCGGUGAAAUGCGUAGAUAUCUGGAGGAACACCGGUGGCGAAGGCGGCGUUCUGGACUGCAACUGACACUGAGGAACGAAAGCCAGGGGAGCAAACGGG
rnacentral:rRNA from 1 species